rnacentral:snRNA from 1 species
GACGCUUCUCGGCUCUCUGAGCUAAGAUCAUGUGUAGUAUCUGUUCUUUGCAGUGUAAUUUCUGCAACGGUCUCUAAACUGAGACCAAUGAAAUUUCUUGAUAAGUGUAUAUUAAAGUAUCUCAC